rnacentral:rRNA from 1 species
UGCGGAAGGAUCAUUACCGAGUGAGGGCCCUCUGGGUCCAACCUCCCACCCGUGUUUAUCGUACCUUGUUGCUUCGGCGGGCCCGCCUCACGGCCGCCGGGGGGCAUCCGCCCCCGGGCCCGCGCCCGCCGAAGACACACAAACGAACUCUUGUCUGAAGAUUGCAGUCUGAGUACUUGACUAAAUCAGUUAAAACUUUCAACAACGGAUCUCUUGGUUCCGGCAUCGAUGAAGAACGCAGCGAAAUGCGAUAAGUAAUGUGAAUUGCAGAAUUCAGUGAAUCAUCGAGUCUUUGAACGCACAUUGCGCCCCCUGGUAUUCCGGGGGGCAUGCCUGUCCGAGCGUCAUUGCUGCCCUCAAGCACGGCUUGUGUGUUGGGCUCUCGCCCCCCGCUUCCGGGGGGCGGGCCCGAAAGGCAGCGGCGGCACCGCGUCCGGUCCUCGAGCGUAUGGGGCUUCGUCACCCGCUCUGUAGGCCCGGCCGGCGCCCGCCGGCGAACACCAUCAAUCUUAACCAGGUUGACCUCGGAUCAGGUAGGGAUACCCGCUGAACUUAAGCAUAUCAAAGGCCCGGAGGAA